AUGCAGUACACCAGACCAACCUACCACUUCCCACCCACCGUGUCGGAGUGGCUCUACCCACCUGGCGUGUACGUUGAGCACACACUACGUGUGUGGGCAAUGUCAAGGUCGAGGACCGCAAGGAACUUCACCGAGUUCUUCCUCGCGCCAGGCUACCACCACCUUCCGCGGGGAUCUCCAAGGAUGUUUUGUGUCGAGGAGGUCAUCCGGAACGGGGUGGUGGUUGCUCUCCUUGCCCACUUCACCAACACAUUCGACGCCUUCUACCUCCUCGGCCGGGUGUUUUGGUGUGGCUGUGAGUUCAUUGCUUUCACCACCCACAACAUGUUCACAGAGUACACCAACAUCUUCCCCACCACGUCCCGCAUGCACACUCUUCCGUACCCCAUCGACAACGCCCCGGAGAAGUGA
rnacentral:rRNA from 1 species